rnacentral:rRNA from 1 species
AUACGUAGGCAGCGAGCGUUGUUCGGAAUCAUUGGGCGUAAAGGGCGUGCAGGCGGUCCUGCAAGUCCGGCGUGAAAGACCCCGGCCCAACCGGGGGGACGCGCUGGAAACUGCGGGGCUUGAGUACAGGAGGGGAUGCCGGAAUUCCAGGUGUAGGGGUGAAAUCUAUAGAUAUCUGGAAGAACACCAAUGGCAAAGGCAGGCACCUGGCCAUGUACUGACACGGAGACGCGAAGGUGCGGGGAGCAAACAGGGUUGUAUGCCCGGGUAGUCCGCACAGGAAACGAUGUGCUCCAGGUGUCGGGGGGUCGACCCUCGGUACCGUAGCUAACGCAUUAAGUGCACCGCCUGGGGAGUAUGCUCGCAAGGGUGAAACUCAAAUGAAUUGGCGGUG